CCCCUCUAUCGCAACGUACAUCCAGUUUCAUCUCUUUGGAGAUUUCUCUGGGAUGUCGUGCAAGCUUCUGAUUUGGGCAGUUGUUGGUGAUGAUUCAUGCCAGGCAUCCACACAGUGGAGCAUCUUCUCAUGAUUUUCUGGGUAUAUUUCCUUUUUUUUAGUGCAACAUGGGCAAGUUAGUGAGACCCUGUAUACAAAUUAAACACUUAAAAAAGACAGGAAAAGUAGAUCAGUGUGAAGAACGUGGCUUCAAUCUCCAGUAGAGGUGGUAGGGGGGAGGGGAGAUACAAACAAAACUAACAAGAGUGAAGCAAAGUGUAAUGCACAUACAAAACAUGUGCGGCAAGCCCAAGUGGCCAGCUUGAUGUGUACUCACAAUGUGCACACACUCUGCCACCCAGGUGUUACAAGGGGCCUUCACAAUACCCCAGGAGCUUCUGUUGGGUCUCUUAGUCUUUGUUUUCAACCUUUUUAUUUUUCAUUUAAUUAUUGUGAUUACCAGUGAUAGGAUAUUAUUAUUCUGGUAAUGCUGGAGAUUGAACCCAGGGCCUUGCUCACACUCAUGUUCCACCACUGACCUAAAAACUAGCCUGGGAGGAUUUUAAAAACUUCUUUGAUGGAUUCUGCACUCUGGCUUCCAAGAUCCUGGGCAUCCCUUCACAGCCAAAUUCUGUGGGCUUUUUUCAGCCUUGUGGCAUGUGGUCUCACACACUUAGCGUUCUAGAAACUUCCCUGUCUGGCCUCUGUAACUGCCUGUCUGUGUUCCUCCAGGUCCUCUCCACUUUCUGUUUCCUUCUUCUGGACAUGUGUGUGGACAGGGUGUUCCCCUUGGUCCGGGCUUUAGCCUCCUCUUCAAGCUGUGACUGGUCCUGGUGUGUGCUGACCCUAUGCCCCUCUCCCAGCUCCAUACCUCUCUCCAGAGCUACACACUUGUGCCAACUUCCACUGGACUUCCCACUGGGAUCCCUCGGGGCAUGUCAUCCCCAACAGCCCCAGCUCUGUCUCAUCAUCCCUCCUGCCCAAGGAUGUUUCAGUCACAUUCUCUGUCAGCUUAAAGAUCAACAUCACCUGCAUGGACGCUUCACCCAAAACCCUGGCAACAUCGGAGAUGUCUCCUCUCAGAUGGUAGCAUUCCAUCUCCUUAGCAUCCCUGGAACCUGUCCUCUUUCAUACCUCACUUUUCCCUGCCUAAAUCUUCAUCAUCUUUUUCUUGAAUAGCUUAUUUCUCAUUCAUAUGACUGUUUAGCAGCAUAAUUAAUUGUAAGCAGAUUGAAGCCAUGUCCUCAAGUAUAAAGAGUGAGAUGAAAGAAUAUGAUUGGGGAAGAGGGUUCCCUGUAGGGAAGACUUCUCUGAAGAGGCCUCUCUGAGGCCUGAAGCAGGAGUGAGCUAAACCUCAAAACCUUUAGACAGCAGAUUCAUGGUUCACUGUGUGGUCUUCAGGUCUUCAAGCUGCCACUCCCUGUAAAUAUUGAGUACUUUAAUCUCAUCAAAUGCUUAAGACUCAAAAACAAAAGCCAUAUGAUAUUUCCUUCCUGUCAAUGUACCUGAUUCCAUCUGUUAAGAAAAGAUUAUUUAAUAAUAUUAGUUAAAGUACAGUAAGACUUUACCCAGGACCUUUGAGACAGGCAUAGGGACCACUGAUGCAGGGUCUUACUGUGGGGACAGCCGAGGCUCAUCUCUGAGUGCAGCUUGGGCAUAGGGGAUUCACAGCCAAGAGCAGGUGGGGUCAGCGGAUGGAAAGUCACUUUGGAGAUUCUGUAACCUGUGACAAGCCUCUUCCUGUGGGCAGGCCAGAGUGACCAGGCUUCACUGGGGGACCUGAUGGAACGUGAGGGGAGAUCCGAUCCAAGGGUGGAGAGGGCCUCGCUUUGUAGUCUAGGAUGACCUUGACCUUCUGGUGAUUCUCCUGCCUCAGCCUCCCAAGUGUUGGGGUCACAGGUAUGUGCCACCACUAAUGUUCCCUUUGUGAUCUGGCAUAUUAACAAGUUCUGUAAAUGUUCCACAGAAACAUGAGAAAAAAUGUGAGUAAGCCCUCUUUGUACCGUACAGAGUAAGUCCUAUGUCUACAAUAACUGGGAUCAGAACUGAUUCGGAUAUUGAAUUUUUAUAGAUAAACAGAGAUAGGUAGACAAAGAGAUAGAAAAUCUUGGGGAUGGGACACAAGUCUAAAUAUGAAAUUCAUUGAUGUUUCCUAUACACUUUGUGCAAACAGCCCAAAGGUAACUUUAUACAAUACUUUAAAUAAUUUUGUGCAUAAGAGAAAGUUUCAUGCAUCAUAUUGGCACUGCAAAAGCUUUCUCCUUUGGCAACUUUAGAUUUCUGACACUAUGGGCAGGUACUGCUUUGUGUAUUUUGAUGUUCUGUUAUCCAAUACUGUACAUAAGAUUGUGUGAUAAUUAAAUCAUUGUGAAUGAUAUCGCUUAUCCAUCUAAAAUAAUCUUUUUAUCACAAUAAUCACCUGCUUUUGUUGUAGAUAGCAGUUAGACAGGGCUGGCCCUUGAGGGAGUCAAUACAGAAGAAAUGAGGCACAUUUACUGAAGGCCAGGAUUCAAAAAAGAGGAGCUACUGUACUUUAAUACUUUUCCUAGUCAUGAACAGCAGUGAUUGAUAUUCUAAGUAGGCAUCAAUCACCUUGGGUGGGGACCAAAACCUCCCUUAGCACAUUCCUUCCCAAAAUCCUUGUUUGGCCCGUGUAUGCUUGCUACAUGACUUGCUUCCCCAUUUGAUCCCCCUUUAGUCAAUAUGAUCUAGUGACUAUACUUAUAAUCAUAUUGAUUGACCCUCAUUUUGCCCCACCUCAUUCCACCUUGUGUUUUCCCAUUGGAUCAAUAUUACCUAAGCGACUAUACUUUUCAUCUUAUUAGUUGACUACAGUUUUGUCCCACCUUGAACCUGCCUCCCCUUAUGGCUUUGCUCAAAACACUCUUGAGAAGCAGGGUCAGUGGGCAACCCACUUUUGGGGUGUCCUCUCCUGACCCUCUCAGGCAGGAGCUGUCUUUCUCCCAAUGAAUAGUCCCUACUCUUAACCUCUGUUGUUUCUAGAAUUCAUUCUUUGAUUUUGGAGAACACAAACUUGGCAUUUCAGCAGAUGUCUAGCAGGUUGGGAGUUAUAAUAUUUCCGUUAUUUGGAGGUCCACGUAGCAUACAGCCUAUAUCACUUUGUCAGAUAGUUUUAAUACCACUUACCACCUUGCAGUCAGGGUUUGCAAAGAAAUAGAUUUUAUACAGGACACAUAAUUUAUAGGAUUAUUUUAUAAUAUUCCCCCAAAAAGUCAAAUACGGAGGAGCGCAAAAGAUCUGUCCACACACUAGAGACCUAAAGAAUACAGCUGAGGGCCUGGAUCCCACAGCAGUGUCCCCCUCGAGUCCAGCCAGAGCUCUAGAGUCCACGGCAGUGUCUCAUGCAAGUCCAUAUCGAGGAUCUGCAUCAGGAAGGCCCAACGGCCAGUCGUGGAAGCCAGAAAGUCUGCACCGUGAGGUGAAGGGUCUAUGCGACCAGGCUGAGGGAUCUGCACUGGAGCCCUGACGUGAUGCUCAGGGUGAGGACCCGAGCUCCUCAGAUGAUAACAGCUGAGUUCGUAUCAGGAAAACCAGCCACGGAAAGCUUCUCCAGAAAAAUCAACAGUAUACAGUAUUCCCCUCCAGUUCUCCUUCUACGCACUGGCAACAAUCCUCAGUUUAUGAAAGCAGGAGCUCGGGAUAGGAGGAGCUGAGCAGCAGAGGGCUGCGUGCACACCUCUUCGUGGUCCUCGCCGGCGUGGGGACACUGUCCUGUCCCGGCCUCACCUCGGUCCGCCCAGCCCGGUCUGUGCAGAGAGCGAUCGCUGCCGGCUGAGGCGCCCUCUCCAGGAGGUCAAAGGGAGCGGGACGGAAGCGCGCUCGGCCUGCGCAGUGUGCAAAUGUGUUCCCUGGGUGCGCAGGAGCCAGCGGCGCUGUUCUGCUUGUCUUUAGACUGCAAAAGUCAAGCUCAGGAGGGCCACAGCUGUCCAAGGUCUCAGGCUAGCCCGGCCCCCCGGACGAACCCCAGAGCCAGAGGCACAGCAGAGGCCUGACGCCGUGCCCAGGGCUACUCAACUGCCCCCUGUACGGAUUCCAGUGCGACUAACACCCGCCUGGGGAGAUCUGUCACUCCGCGAGCUCUGCACCCCCGCAGGGCCUGGGGCAGCACCGAGCCCGCCAUCGUCCUUCUGGUUCGGACGCGUUGCUCCAUUUGUCCAGCAGGUGGCGCCACACAACCGCCGGAAUCCGUGGCUUCCCAGCUCACUUUGAGAAUUAAGAGCAAAAAUCAA
ensembl:lncRNA